rnacentral:rRNA from 1 species
CUGUAAGCCUGCGAAGGUGUACUGUGAGGUAUGCUGGAGGUAUCAGAAGUGCGAAUGCUGACAUAAGUAACGAUAAAGCGGGUGAAAAGCCCGCUCGCCGGAAGACCAAGGGUUCCUGUCCAACGUUAAUCGGGGCAGGGUGAGUCGACCCCUAAGGCGAGGCCGAAAGGCGUAGUCGAUGGGAAACAGGUUAAUAUUCCUGUACUUGGUGUUACUGCGAAGGGGGGACGGAGAAGGCUAUGUUGGCCGGGCGACGGUUGUCCCGGUUUAAGCGUGUAGGCUGGUUUUCCAGGCAAAUCCGGAAAAUCAAGGCUGAGGCGUGAUGACGAGGCACUACGGUGCUGAAGCAACAAAUGCCCUGCUUCCAGGAAAAGCCUCUAAGCAUCAGGUAACAUCAAAUCGUACCCCAAACCGACACAGGUGGUCAGGUAGAGAAUACCAAGGCGCUUGAGAGAACUCGGGUGAAGGAACUAGGCAAAAUGGUGCCGUAACUUCGGGAGAAGGCACGCUGAUAUGUAGGUGAAGUCCCUCGCGGAUGGAGCUGAAAUCAGUCGAAGAUACCAGCUGGCUGCAACUGUUUAUUAAAAACACAGCACUGUGCAAACACGAAAGUGGACGUAUACGGUGUGACGCCUGCCCGGUGCCGGAAGGUUAAUUGAUGGGGUUAGCGGUAACGCGAAGCUCUUGAUCGAAGCCCCGGUAAACGGCGGCCGUAACUAUAACGGUCCUAAGGUAGCGAAAUUCCUUGUCGGGUAAGUUCCGACCUGCACGAAUGGCGUAAUGAUGGCCAGGCUGUCUCCACCCGAGACUCAGUGAAAUUGAACUCGCUGUGAAGAUGCAGUGUACCCGCGGCAAGACGGAAAGACCCCGUGAACCUUUACUAUAGCUUGACACUGAACAUUGAGCCUUGAUGUGUAGGAUAGGUGGGAGGCUUUGAAGUGUGGACGCCAGUCUGCAUGGAGCCGACCUUGAAAUACCACCCUUUAAUGUUUGAUGUUCUAACGUUGGCCCCUGAUCGGGGUUGCGGACAGUGUCUGGUGGGUAGUUUGACUGGGGCGGUCUCCUCCUAAAGAGUAACGGAGGAGCACGAAGGUUGGCUAAUCCUGGUCGGACAUCAGGAGGUUAGUGCAAUGGCAUAAGCCAGCUUGACUGCGAGCGUGACGGCGCGAGCAGGUGCGAAAGCAGGUCAUAGUGAUCCGGUGGUUCUGAAUGGAAGGGCCAUCGCUCAACGGAUAAAAGGUACUCCGGGGAUAACAGGCUGAUACCGCCCAAGAGUUCAUAUCGACGGCGGUGUUUGGCACCUCGAUGUCGGCUCAUCACAUCCUGGGGCUGAAGUAGGUCCCAAGGGUAUGGCUGUUCGCCAUUUAAAGUGGUACGCGAGCUGGGUUUAGAACGUCGUGAGACAGUUCGGUCCCUAUCUGCCGUGGGCGCUGGAGAACUGAGGGGGGCUGCUCCUAGUACGAGAGGACCGGAGUGGACGCAUCACUGGUGUUCGGGUUGUCAUGCCAAUGGCACUGCCCGGUAGCUAAAUGCGGAAGAGAUAAGUGCUGAAAGCAUCUAAGCACGAAACUUGCCCCGAGAUGAGUUCUCCCUGACUCCUUGAGAGUCCUGAAGGAACGUUGAAGACGACGACGUUGAUAGGCCGGGUGUGUAAGCGCAGCGAUGCGUUGAGCUAACCGGUACUAAUGAACCGUGAGGCUUAACCUUACAAC